rnacentral:rRNA from 1 species
AAUCUUGCGCAAUGGGCGAAAGGCUGACGCAGCCAUGCCGCGUGAAUGAUGAAGGUCUUAGGAUUGUAAAAUUCUUUCACCGGGGACGAUAAUGACGGUACCCGGAGAAGAAGCCCCGGCUAACUUCGUGCCAGCAGCCGCGGUAAGACGAAUGGGGCUAGCGUUGCCAGGAAUUACUGGGCGUAAAGGGCGCGUAGGCGGACAUUUAAGUCAAGUGUGCAAUCCCAGAGCUCAACUCUGGAACUGCCUUUGCUACUGGGUGUCUUGAGUGUGAGAGAGGUAUGUGGAACUCCGAGUGUAGAGGUGAAAUUCGUAGAUAUUCGGAAGAACACCAGUGGCGAAGGCGACAUACUGGCUCAUUACUGACGCUGAGGCGCGAAAGCGUGGGGAGCAAACAG